CCUGUUGUCUUUUCGAAAUUCAGCCUGGGAGGUUAGUUUUCGUCACCCAGAGAAGAGAAGCUAUUUUCUAGUGGUUUCAUAGGCCCAGAGUCGGGCGAGCCGCGGGCGAGUCAAGUGUGCAGUGGCUUGAAGGGUCUUUUUUCCCAAGUGAAUGUGUUAUUAAAUGCAUACUAAUAUCUUCCUAUAGUGUAAGUGAAUGGAGUUUUAUCAGCUCUUGCCUGGCAGCUGAGAAAAAUAAAUAGCCCUUUCCCUGCUUGCUCCUUAUUGAUGGUUACUGCGUGCCAUCGUUGUGGAGUUGUCUUCAGAAGGAGACUUACUACAAAUUACCUAAUCCUGUGUAACAGAAGUGGAAGUUGAUGCGUUUACAUAACCGAGUCCACGUGAAACUUCAGUUAGGUCUUAGAUUAAGCACUACUUUGCCUUUUAGAAUUCUGUAAUGUAUAUAUAAGUAUAUUUUCCAGAACAACGGUUUUCCUUAUACAGUCAAAAUACAUUAUUUCUUAUGAACAGAAAGAUUCAUUGUAAGUAGUACAUUAAAAUGUGUGGGUGAUUUAAAAAUAUUUAUUUUGCCUGUAAACAUUUCGCUUUUAAUCUUUCUACAACUGAAGAGGU